rnacentral:lncRNA from 13 species
AUGAUAUGUCAUGGCAAAAGUUCGCUGGGUUGGGGCAAUACACUUAAGUUUUUCCACCACCAACGUUUUUCUCCAUUAGUAGCACCAGCACAUGAUUUGGAUUUUAGAUUUUUUGAUGAUUUUUUUAUAUACAGUACCAGUCAAAAGUUUGGACACCUACACAUUUGGACACACCUACUCAAGGGUUUUAAUGUAUUUUUUACUACUUUCUACAUUCUAGAAUAAUAGUGAAGACAUCAAAACUAUGAAUAACACACAUGGAAUCAUGUAGUAACCAACAUUUUUUUUUAACAAAUCAAAGUGUAUUUUAUAUUUGAGUACCUUCAAAGUAGCCACCCUUUGCCUUGAUGCCAGCUUUGCACACUCUUGGCAUUCUAUCAACCAGCUUCACGAGGGAGUCACCUGGAAUGCAUUUCAAUUAACCAGCUUCAUGAGGAAUGCUUUUCCAACCGUCUUGAAGGAGUUCUCACAUAUGCUGAGCACUUGUUGGCUGCUUUUCCUUCACUCUGCGGUCCCACUCAUCCCAAACCAUCUCAAUUGGGUAGAGGUCGGGGAUUGGGGAGGCCAGGUCAUCAGAUGCAGCACUCCAUCACUCUCCUUCUAAAAAAAUAGCCCAUACACAGCCUAUAGGUGUGUUGAGUCAUUGUCCUGUUGAAAAACAAAUGAUAGUCCCACUAAGCGCACGCCAGAUGGGAUGGCGUUCCAGGUGACUCCCUCAUGAAGCUGAUUUAGAGAAUGCCAAAAAAGUGUGCAAAACUGUCAUCAAGGAAAAUUGUGGCUAUUUGAAGAGUCUAAAAUAUAAUAUAUAUUUUGAUUUAACAUUUUUUUGGGUUGCUACUUGAUUCCAAAUGUGUUAUUUAAUAGUUUUGUUUGUUUGUUUUGUCUUCACUAUUAUUCAACAUUGCGAAAAUAGUACAAAUAAAGACAAACCCUUGAAUGAGUAGGUGUUCUAAACUUUUGACCGGUAGUGUAUAUACAGCUCUAGAAAAAAUUAAGAGACCACUGCAAAAUGUUUAAAGGUAUGUGUCUGUGUAAAAUGAACAUAUUUGUUUUAUUCUAUAAACUACUGACAACAUUUGUCCCAGAUUCCAAAUAGAAAUGUUGUCAUUUAGAGCAUUUAUUUGCAGAAAAUGACAACGGGUCAAAAUAACAAAAAAUAUGCGGUGUUGUCAGACCUCGACCUCGAUGCAAAGAAAAUAAGUUCAUAUUCAUUUUUAAACAACACAAUACUAAUGUUUUAACUUAAGAAGAGUUCAGAAAUCUACCAUUUUCUUCUACCAUUUUUGGUAGAAUAACCCUGUUUUUCAAUCACAGCUUUCAUGCGUCUUGGCACCAGUCUUUCACAUUUGAUUUUGGGUGACUUUAUGCCACUCCUGGCACAACAAUUCAAGCAGCUUGGCUUUGUUUGAUGGCUUGUGGCCUCUUUUGUAUUAUUAUUAAUAAUAACCUGGCCUGUGUCCCAUAAUGUGCCUGCAUUCCGUACAGAACCAGGAUAAUAAUGACUAGCCAUCUUUUACAUUAGCAUGCUCUUGUGUUCUUACAUUGAUUUGGAUAGAUUUACUCUAACAGCAAAGAAAAUAUACUAUUAAAAUAAAGUGCAAAAUGUAUUUAUUGCAGAUUUCAAAGUGUCAUGUUUUCUGCAAAAAAAUAUAAAAAAAUAAAUAUGAUGCUUGAUACCACAUAGUUGGGAGAAGGACUGAUUUACUCCAGUUUUGUGUUUGGCCAGCGGAUUUUGUAUAGCGCACUUGUGAUGGAGAUUUCAAAACAAAUGGCCACAGGAUUGGUUCAAAUAAUCAUGAUAGGCUACUUUGUAGUUAACUUUUAGUGGCCUUUCCAUCUACCAAAAAACAGUUAGGCUAUCAUUAACAUCGCUAAUGGCUACACAAAGUGUUACAUAGGCCCUAUGCGCUCCGCACACAGCGGGGCUUGACAUUUAGGUAAACUUGCCAGUGCAAACUGAAAGCUACUGACCCAAAUGGAAAAAUGUACUGGCCCGGGGUCAAGAUCUGGCAGAAAAGUUAAUGAUGCGUGAAUAAUUGCGAUAGCAGUUGAUUUUAUCUUUAAUUUGCGGGCUGAGCAAGUAGCUUAUACAGGAUUCAUACAGACAUUGCCAAGUUAAGUUAAAAUUGGAUUCCCUUUUGUAAUGGAACACUUUAUAUGGAGAACCAAGUUGAAGCCAACAUUCAGUGCUGUCUUGCAAAUUAUAACCGCACAUGGUUUUACUGCAGCUAGAGCAACACCAUUCAAUAGAGAUGGCGGGGAACAAACAAAAGUGCCUCAUAAAAACUGAUCAGAAAUUAUAUCAUGGAAUAAUUAAGGUUAGGUUAAACGUUUAGGGAAAGGGUAAGCUAACAUGCAAAGUACCUCAAUAGUAGUAAGUAAACUCAGCAAAAAAAGAAAAGUCCCUUUUUCAGGACCCUGUCUUUCAAAAGAUAAGUCGUAAAAAUCCAAAUAACUUCACAGAUCUUCAUUGUAAAGGGUUUAAACACUGUUUCCAAUGCUUGUUAAAUGAACCAUAAACAAUUAAUGAACAUGCACCUGUGGAACAGUCGUUAAGACUAAGAGCUUAGACGGUAGACAAUUAAGGUCACAGUUAUGAAAACUUAGGACACUAAAGAGGCCUUUCUACUGACUCUGAAAAACACCAAAAGAAAGAUGCCCAGUGUCCCUGCGCGAACGUGCCUUAGGCAUGCUGCAAGGAGGCAUGAGGACUGUAGAUGUGGCCAGGGCAAUAAAUUACAAUGUCUGUACUGUGAGGCGCCUAAGACAGCACUACAGGGAGACAGGAUGGACAGCUGAUCUUGCUCGCAGUGGCAGACCACGUGUAACAACACCUGCAUAGGAUCGGUACAUCCGAACAUCACACCUGCGAGACAAAUUGACUACUAACAGAUCUCUCGAGCCAGACGGCUUACUUCCGCAAUCUUUGAAUGCCUAUAGGCUCACGUCGCUCCAAGGUCGGGGAUAUCCGAGACUAACUAACAGAUGGGGAAAUGACAUUGUCUUGAUUAACUGAGAACAGUGUCAGAUUGGAUAUGUAUAUUUAGGAACGGUGACACCAAAAGCUGAGGUGGUGCAGUGAGCUAAGGAUUUUUUUUGUUAUAUUGAUUUAAGACCAGUAAGAGUCAUCCCUUUUAGAACAUCUCUAUGUUGUGAGAUAUAGUAUUUGGAGAAGGACUGUAUGUGGACGGAGGAGGGCCACUAAGUAGUAGAUUAAACUGCAGUGUUUUUCCCAUGUGUAGGUGAGGGGAAAUCCAUAUUCCUUGAGGAAAGACAGAGAAAUCAGUGAGGGAAACCACUUACAGAAAGAACCACUACUCCUCAAUAACAUACCAUAUUAGACAUGAUAAAGCAAGCAAAACCCAAUUCUACUCCUGUGUUAAUGCUAGGUUAUUUGGACCAAAUGGCUGUGGGAGUAGUUAGCUAGUGUAUUAGUGGUGUGGGAACACUAUUGCAGUGCUAUCAUGCACUGUUUGGAAGCACUUCAGAGAGGAUGGUGCCAAUUUUGAUCCUUAUUUUUUAUUUAUUUUUAUUUCACCUUUAUUUAACCAGGUAGGCUAGUUGAGAACAAGUUCUCAUUUACAACUGCGACCUGGCCAAGAUAAAGCAUAGCAGUGUGAACAGACAACAACACAGAGUUACACAUGGAGUAAACAAUAAACAAGUCAAUAACACAGUAGAAAAAAAUAGUCUAUAUACAUUGUGUGUAAAAGGCAUGAGGAGGUAGGCGAAUAAUUACAAUUUUGCAGAUUAACACUGGAGUGAUAAAUGAUCACGUCAUGUGCAGGUAGAGAUACCGGUGCGCAAAAGAGCAGAAAAGUAAAUAAAUAAAAACAGUAUGGGGAUGAGGUAAGUAAAUUGGGUGGGCUAUUUACCGAUGGACUAUGUACAGCUGCAGCGAUCGGCUAGCUGCUCAGAUAGCAGAUGUUUAAAGUUGGUGAGGGAGAUAAGUCUCCAACUUCAGCGAUUUUUGCAAUUUGUUCCAGUCACAGGCAGCAGAGAACUGGAAGGAUAGGCGGCCAAAUGAGGUGUUGGCUUUAGGGAUGAUCAGUGAGAUACACCUGCUGGAGCGCGUGCUACGGGUCGGUGUUGCCAUCGUGACCAGUGAACUGAGAUAAGGCGGAGCUUUACCUAGCAUGGACUUGUAGAUGACCUGGAGCCAGUGGGUCUGGCGACGAAUAUGUAGCGAGGGCCAGCCGACUAGAGCAUACAGGUCGCAGUGGUGGGUGGUAUAAGGUGCUUUAGUAACAAAACGGAUGGCACUGUGAUAAACUGCAUCCAGUUUGCAGAUGACAUCGCCGAAGUCGAGGAUCGGUAGGAUAGUCAGUUUUACUAGGGUAAGUUUAGCGCCGUGAGUGAAGGAGGCUUUGUUGCGGAAUAGAAAGCCGACUCUAGAUUUGAUUUUGGAUUGGAGAUGUUUGAUAUGAGUCUGGAGGGAGAGUUUACAGUCUAGCCAGACACCUAGUUACUUAUAGAUGUCCACAUAUUCUAGGUCAGAACCAUACAGGGUGGUGAUGCUAGUCGGGCGUGCGGGUGCAGGCAGCGAACGGUUGAAAAGCAGGAUUUGGUUUUACUAGCAUUUAAGAGCAGUUGGAGGCCACGGAAGGAGUGUUGUAUGGCAUUGAAGCUUGUUUGGAGGUUAGAUAGCACAGUGUCCAAGGAAGGGCCAGAAGUAUACAGAAUGGUGUUGUCUGCGUAGAGGUGGAUCAGGGAAUCUCCUG